GUUAAUAUUGAAUUUGGUAACUGACCGAGUGUAUUUGCCAUCAAUUUAGUCGUAAAGGAUCAUUUUUCGUAUUCCAAAAGACGCUCACCGAAACCCUACCAUCCUUCACUUUUUUUUUUGAAUUAACCGGCGUCGGUUCAGAUUUUAACUCACUGAAAUCGUCUUUUCAAUCCCCCAUCCGUUUCCACCCCACCCCACGUUAAGAACUACCCAUGGAAAGCAGUUGGGUCUGUGUAUCGGCAUUAUCAGCUUCAGAGGUCAAGAAGGAAAGAUAUACAAAUUCUGAAACGGGAGGGAAGAAGGUUCAUGAGGUAGUUCAAGUGGGUCUGAAGUAUGAUAAAGCAUGAUGUAUGUAUGAGUUAGAAGGUGUGAGUAGUAAAGAGGAAUGUAUGAAGACAAGAAGGGCUAUGGAUAUUGUUGGAAUCACUACUGACGAAAAGGUUCUCUACAUUUCUACAAACAUAUUUAUUAACUGAUGUAUCUGUUUUUUUAACUUCUGGAUAUGGGCUUAGUGUUGGAUAUAUUGGCAGUCAGGUGGAUUGCGUAAAUGGUCAAAAUGUAUAAUUUCUAUGACGGGUUUGCUCAUUCUAAGAGGUGAGCAUGUACCAUAAGAUCUACUAGACCGAGUGUUGGUUGCUCAUUCAAUGUGGUCUCAACAUCAAACUAAGCCACAUGGGAAGCAUAAGACCGAAUCCAUUCUGGUUAAAGUUUUAACCUUAAAGCGGAUCGGGGGGUGGUGUGUACAAAGUUAAAAUAGGUGUAACAUGUUUAAAUUCCGUAAUAUCUCAUAUUUUUUUUUUUGUUUCCUCUAAAGAUUCAUGUCCUAUGAUGCAAGUUCGAGAGGGAAACAGGGGACAUUUGGUAAAUUGAGUUGGAAGGGGAAUAAGGAUGUUUUAACAAGUUUACUUCAUCAUCAUACUUGCAUGUUUGUUCAUUGAAAUAUGCAUAAACAUAAUUUCUUA